UGGACGGCUCGUGGGGAGCAUGUAGGGUACGGCGUGGCUCUCCUCCCCUUUGUCCUUGGCUCUCCCCGCAUGAGUCAACCUCAUCCCUGCCUCCACCAUUGAUCUAUGCUUUCAGAGGCUUACGAAAAUGGAGACGAGCGGGUGGAUCUUCAAGAGUGUUGGCAUCUUCCUCUAAUUCUUCUUUGGCAUGUUAUGGAAGAAGAAGAAGAAGAAGAAGCUGUACAUAUGUGUUCACUGUAUUGAAAUUAUGUACAAUGUAUCUCUUUGUGAUAUGCCAUUUGUUCUGCUCAUAUUGAGCUGAAACUGAGAUAGAUGAAAUACAACCUUGAAGUUGCAGGAUGGUUGAUGUGGUGUGGUGGGCAGCGUAAAGGAAUUUGUCGAGGUUGCCAAUAUGAUUGAGGCAGCGGAUGCGACUCGGCAGAACAAGAAUGUGUGUUAGCAGAUUAGAGAUCGCACAGAUUGUCGUAGUGCCACGCUGUCAAAGCUUGUUCAUGGUGGUGCAGAGAAGGACCCCACAGAUUGAUUUAGCAUGCCAUGUGAUUGUGAGAGCAGAGUGCUUGUGUUCGUAUUGGAGAGGGAAAUUAUUUAUUUCCCAUUCGGCCAUAUCCAAUCCCCCCUGGCGAACCGCCGCUUGCGGAGUGUUCUCUGCGCAUCUUCUCUAGCGAGGGAAACAAGCUACUGCGGCUUCAAUUACUCAUGUAGCAUGCAUUUUGUGCUGCCAAUGCUCAAGAUUACCAUCUUUGUGAAGCUCGAGCCCAGAAGUGGAAGGCAAAUGCCGGCGAUGGUGUAGGUGCUGCAUAUGAUGCUCACCUUUGAGGAGAGGGUCUUUGAUUGGUCGUUGCAGAUAUGGAUACUAGCAGCGAGCUGAGGUUAGUUAAGAACAUGUUGAUAAUCAAUAUGGAUGUGAAAGAUAACCAUGAAGAAGCCAGUGUUGG